CUUCCAGGCAGUGGACAGGUGGGAAGGGGCAAAGCCGGAGCCCAGGAGGCCGGGUGGAGGCGGAGGCAGCCCCCAAGACUGUCCGGGGUCUGGAGGCCCCGCGGAAGUUCAGGCAGGGCCCUGUUUGCAGGACUCAGGAAUUUUCCCUGGCACCCUUGGCAUGGGCAGGCAGAUUCCUAUCUGGCUGGGGGUUUGCCAAAGAACCCUCAGGGAAGGAGGGGGCGGCUCUUACCAGAGAGGGGGCGCAGAGGGGAGCCAGGCCUUCCGCUCCAAAGGGACCCGAUUCCUACCUGGAUUGCUCCACUGGCCAGAGGUGUGACUGUGGACACAUUCCAUGGCCUUUCUGAGUCAGCUUCUUCCUGAGAAAUGGGGCCCCACACCCACCCGGCUCCUGGCAAGUGCUAGACUCCAGGUCACUUCCUACAGAAGGCAAGCCGAGCAGACUUGCCAGAAUCCUUCAUGGGAACAGGAGCCAGAGGGCACCACCAGGCAGGCAGUAAACCCUCGCCGCGGUGCCCUGCGGGGUUCUGGGGAGGCGCGCCAGUCUCCCACCCCUUCCCCAUGCCAGCACACGGCGGGAAGCGCGCUCACCCCUGCGGAGCCAGCCGGUUGGAAAGGCACCCGCCUCCGUGUUCCUCGUUCCGCGGGCCAAGCCACCACCGAACCGGGGAUCCAGCGGACGCUCCCCAGCCGUCCAGCCUGACCCAGGGCUGGUGUGGAAGUGGGUCCAACCUGACCUCCUCCUCCCGCUGGCGGCUUCCUCGGAACCCAGCCACCCUGUCCGCAGAGACCUUCCACUGGACUGGGGCUGCGGAGCCGACAUUUGGAGGUUUGAAGGGGAAAGGGCUUUAUGACCUCGCAGAUUAUGUUUUUUUAUGAACGCAUGGACUUGAACUGCUCAGGGACACUGGCGGUAUGAAGGCUUAUUUUUGUACAAAGAACCCUUAGAUUUAGAACACAAUAAAGAUUGUUUAUUCCCUCUAGUCCCUCUUCCUGGAAGUUUGGAACCUGGCCGAAAUCUCCCGUGCCACAGCCCUUGGGCA
rnacentral:lncRNA from 1 species